UAAGAAGGAGGCGAGCGAUAUCCGGAUUCACUGGGCGUAAAGCGCGCGCAGGCGGGCAUGCAAGUCGUGCGUCAAAGCCCCUGGCUCAACUGGGGGAGGCCGUAGGAUACUGCAGGGCUUGAGGUCGGGAGAGGGGGGCGGAAUUCCCGGUGUAGCGGUAAAAUGCGUAGAUAUCGGGAGGAACACCAGUGGCGAAGGCGGCGCCCUGGCCUGCACCUGACGCUGAGGCGCGAAAGCGUGGGGAGCGAGCGGG
rnacentral:rRNA from 1 species